rnacentral:sRNA from 1 species
UUGACAGUUCUGAGAACUGAAGAUCAUUUUUAUUCACAUCCCUCAGUAUAGCAUGGGCAGCCGCAGUCAGAGCCUUGCUAAUGCUGUUUCCCUCUAAAUGGUUCAGUCCUGUCCUUUCGGGACUUGCCUCCAAAAUGAGAGUAUAGUACGGGUUUCCUAGCCUGUUCAGCCUAUAGUCUUU